rnacentral:rRNA from 1 species
UCCUACGGGGCGCAGCAGUGAGGAAUAUUGGUCAAUGGGCGAGAGCCUGAACCAGCCAAGUCGCGUGAGGGAAGACGGUCCUACGGAUUGUAAACCUCUUUUGUCAGGGAGCAAGGAGCGCCACGAGUGGUGCGGCGAGAGUACCUGAAGAAAAAGCAUCGGCUAACUCCGUGCCAGCAGCCGCGGUAAUACGGAGGAUGCGAGCGUUAUCCGGAUUUAUUGGGUUUAAAGGGUGCGUAGGCGGGCUUUUAAGUCAGCGGUAAAAAUUCGGGGCUCAACCCCGUCCGGCCGUUGAAACUGGGGGC